rnacentral:rRNA from 1 species
AUUGAACGCUGGCGGCAGGCCUAACACAUGCAAGUCGAGCGAGCGGCGGACGGGUGAGUGAUGUAUGGGAACCUGCCUGAUGGAGGGGGAUAACUACUGGAAACGGUAGCUAAUACCGCAUACCAUCGGAUGUGCCCAGAUGGGCUUAGCUAGUAGGUGGGGUAACGGCUCACCUAGGCGACGAGCCCUAGCUGGUCUGAGAGGAGGACCAGCCACACUGGGACUGAGACACGGGCCAGACUCCUACGGGAGGCAGCAGUGGGGAAUAUUGGACAAUGGGCGAAAGCCUGAUGCAGCCAUGCCGCGUGUAUGAAGAAGGCCUUCGGGUUGUAAAGGACUUUCAGCGGGGAGGCGUUACUCGCAGAAGAAGCACCGGCUAACUCCGUGCCAGCAGCCGCGGUAAUAC